GACCAGUCCUGCAAGGCAGGGAGUGGGGAGAGGUGCUAGAAAAAUGUGUCCUUAGAGGGCUUAGAGAAGAAUUAAAAAACUGCGGUGACAGAAAGAAGCUGGCAGGAUCCACACAGAGGGAAGAGCAGGAGCAAAGACUCAGAGGCACUGGCCCUUUCUGCUGGAAAAGAAGUUCAAGUAACUUGCAUGAGGAUCCACAGCUAAUAUGUAGUAGAGCUGAGAUCCAGUGAAGACCUUUCCACACCAAAGCCAAUGAUCUUUCUACUACAUCACAAAACCUUUAAUAAACAUCAAGCUGGAA
rnacentral:lncRNA from 1 species